rnacentral:rRNA from 1 species
GACGAACGCUGGCGGCGUGCUUAACACAUGCAAGUCGAACGGAAAGGCCCUCACCUUGGUGGGGGUGCUCGAGUGGCGAACGGGUGAGUAACACGUGGGUGAUCUGCCCUGUACUUCGGGAUAAGCUUGGGAAACUGGGUCUAAUACCGGAUAGGACCAUGGUUUAGUGUCUCAUGGUGGAAAAAUUAUUGUUUUGGUGCAGGAUGAGCUCGCGGCCUAUCAGCUUGUUGGUGGGGUAAUGGCCUACCAAGGCGUCGACGGGUAGCCGGCCUGAGAGGGUGGACGGCCACAUUGGGACUGAGAUACGGCCCAGACUCCUACGGGAGGCAGCAGUGGGGAAUAUUGCACAAUGGGCGCAAGCCUGAUGCAGCGACGCCGCGUGGGGGAUGACGGCCUUCGGGUUGUAAACUCCUUUCGUUAGGGACGAAGCCACACUUUUUUUGGGUGUGGUGACGGUACCUUUGUUAAGAAGCACCGGCUAACUACGUGCCAGCAGCCGCGGUAAUACGUAGGGUGCGAGCGUUGUCCGGAAUUACUGGGCGUAAAGAGCUCGUAGGUGGUUUGUUGCGUCGUCUGUGAAAUUCCGGGGCUUAACUUCGGGGUGGCAGGCGAUACGGGCAUAACUAGAGUGCUGUAGGGGAGACUGGAAUUCCUGGUGUAGCGGUGGAAUGCGCAGAUAUCAGGAGGAACACCGAUGGCGAAGGCAGGUCUCUGGGCAGUAACUGACGCUGAGGAGCGAAAGCAUGGGGAGCGAACAGGAUUAGAUACCCUGGUAGUCCAUGCUGUAAACGGUGGGCGUUAGGUGUGGGGACCGGUUUGGUUUCUGUGCCGUAGCUAACGCAUUAAGCGCCCCGCCUGGGGAGUACGGCCGCAAGGCUAAAACUCAAAGGAAUUGACGGGGGCCCGCACAAGCGGCGGAGCAUGUGGAUUAAUUCGAUGCAACGCGAAGAACCUUACCUGGGUUUGACAUGCACCAGACGGUUGUAGAGAUACGUACCUCCCUUUGUGGUUGGUGUGCAGGUGGUGCAUGGUUGUCGUCAGCUCGUGUCGUGAGAUGUUGGGUUAAGUCCCGCAACGAGCGCAACCCUUGUCUCAUGUUGCCAGCACGUUUGGGUGGGGACUCAUGAGAGACUGCCGGGGUUAACUCGGAGGAAGGUGGGGAUGACGUCAAAUCAUCAUGCCCUUUAUGCCCAGGGCUUCACACAUGCUACAAUGGUUAGUACAACGCGCGGCGAGCCUGUGAGGGUGAGCGAAUCGCUGAAAGCUAAUCUCAGUUCGGAUUGGGGUCUGCAACUCGACCCCAUGAAGUCGGAGUCGCUAGUAAUCGCAGAUCAGCAAUGCUGCGGUGAAUACGUUCCCGGGCCU